rnacentral:rRNA from 1 species
UACGGAGGAUCCAAGCGUUAUCCGGAUUUACUGGGCGUAAAGGGCGCGUAGGCGGUCAGCACAAGUCAGUUGUGAAAUCUCCGGGCUUAACUCGGAAAGGUCAACUGAUACUGUGCGACUAGAGUGCGGAAGGGGCAACUGGAAUUCUCGGUGUAGCGGUGAAAUGCGUAGAUAUCGAGAGGAACACCUGCGGCGAAGGCGGGUUGCUGGGCCGACACUGACGCUGAUGCGCGAAAGCCAGGGGAGCGAACGGG